rnacentral:lncRNA from 1 species
GAUUCCACUUGCUUAAGAGCUUCCAAGGGGGAUUGGCUUUGUCAUUGAAGAUGUCAACCACUAUCAUUGAAUCACAUUCAAGCCAAAUAUUGUGCCAACCUUUUCCAUGAGCAAACCUAACCGCAAGCAUAGCAGCAUUGAGCUCCACAAAUAGAGCAUCAUUGCAGCCAUUAAAACAAGCAAAACAAGCCAUAGUUUGUCCCUCAUGGUUUCUGAAAAUGCCACCACCAGCUGAGGGACCAGGGCUGCCUCUAGCAGCACCAUCAGUAUUGAUUUUAACAGUUGCUUGAGCAGGGGGCAACCAAAUCACCUCAAUUAUUUUAGAAGCCUUAGAGUAAUUUAUUUUAACCUGAAGGAGUCUAAGCAGAGC